rnacentral:hammerhead_ribozyme from 1 species
AUCUACCUGAUCAGUUCAAAAUAGAACGGAACGCGCGUCCUGGAU